AUUGAACGCUGGCGGCAGGCCUAACACAUGCCAGUCGAGCGGAUGAAGGGAGCUUGCUCCUGGAUUCAGCGGCGGACGGGUGAGUAAUGCCUAGGAAUCUGCCUGGUAGUGGGGGAUAACGUCCGGAAACGGGCGCUAAUACCGCAUACGUCCUGAGGGAGAAAGUGGGGGAUCUUCGGACCUCACGCUAUCAGAUGAGCCUAGGUCGGAUUAGCUAGUUGGUGGGGUAAAGGCCUACCUAGGCGACGAUCCGUAACUGGUCUGAGAGGAUGAUCAGUCACACUGGAACUGAGACACGGUCCAGACUCCUACGGGAGGCAGCAGUGGGGAAUAUUGGACAAUGGGCGAAAGCCUGAUCCAGCCAUGCCGCGUGUGUGAAGAAGGUCUUCGGAUUGUAAAGCACUUUAAGUUGGGAGGAAGGGCAGUAAGUUAAUACCUUGCUGUUUUGACGUUACCAACAGGAUAAGCACCGGCUAACUUCGUG
rnacentral:rRNA from 1 species